UCCCGGCAUGCACCGCGCCACCACGCGGCAUCCCGUUAUCAGGAUUCCCACGCAGUUUCUCGGCAACUGCAACAUGAUUGGCUCCUGCGUCGAGGGGAGGGCAGGCUACGCAAAUGGGACGACAUGACCAUCCCAAACAUGCAUCCAUCCAUCCAUCCAUCCAUCCAUCCAUUUUCGGAGCCGCUUCUCCCCACUCGGGAGCCCGUCCCAGCCGUCAUCGGGCAGGAGGCGGGGUCCACCCUGAACCGGUCGCCGGCCAAUCGCAGGGCACAUACAAACCAACAACCAUUCGCACUCACAUUCACACCUACGGGCAAUUUAGAGUUGUCAAUUAACCCACUGUAGUAUAUUUUCAUAGUAACACAAUCAGAGUUCCUUUGGGAAGGACAAAUGUUUGGAGAGCUGUGUUCCCACCAACUGUCUUUUCUUUGUACUUCUCCAUCAAAGAACAUCCUUUAACCAGUUAUAUGUUGAUCGGGGGGUCUUGCAUCCCCCUGACAGAAACCUGUCGGGGGUUUACAACCGGUCCUGGUCUUCAAAGAGGACUGUUUGGCAUUAUCGUAACAAAGGACCCCCGGGGGAAAGAUCGACCAGACUGAGAGACGACGGCAGACGAGUAGCGGUAUUUCACACACCCAAAGAGACAGCAGCGGGCAGCUACGAUUCCAAAUAUGGUCAUGAGGAGCAGCAUCCUUCCGGAUGCAACGAGGGAGGGGGCUAAUUCCACGGACCGACGCAAAGUGGAAAAGUGUUCUGUGGUCCGACGAGUCCGCAUUUCAAAUUGUUUUGGGAAAUUGUGGACGCCGUGUCCUCCGGGCCUAACAGGAAAAGAACCAUCCAGAGUGUUUUUUUUGUAUCCUGUUUUUAUUUCUGUUUAACACAACGUCCCAACUUCAUUGGAAUUGGGUUGUGGUUCUUCUGGUACUUUGGCUUUUUAUUUGGAUGCUUAUAAAUCUUGUUGUUGUGUUUUUCCUGCCGAUGUGUGAGGUGUUCAUGAAGGUGGACAUCAAAGGAAACCGUGUGGUUCUUCUACAUGGGCGUGCCAAGUUAGAACACACACACACGUGCACACACGCGUCUCCUAAAAAGCUCAUCUUUCUUCCUCAGAUGUAAAAUCAGACCUUCGACAUUCUUGGGACGACUUUUUAAGAACCUUGCCAGCAAGUUGUUGGAAGAACUCAUUGAAUCCAAACUAAAACGAUGGGUGGACAAAAUGGUGAUUCCUGGAGUCGUCACCGUUGAAGCCACCAUCGUCUAUCAUGAGGGCAACCUGGUGGUCGGAGGAAACCUGAGACUGGUUUCUGAGGUGAUCCAGGAGAUUCUGGGGCAGUACCAGACAAGGAGAAGAAGAAGAAACUUGUAGUUCAUCUCCUUUGUGUUGUGGUUGACUUUGUUCGGCCGCACGGUGACGGUAACGCGUCUCAGCUUCGAGGUCACGUGAUGACGAGAUGCGCGCGUGAGGCCGGCGAGGUCGCUUCGGAGUUUAUCGGGCUCUUCUCAUUCGCGGGGUACAAGAUGACGAUGACGAAGGAAGAGUCGGCCCAUACAGGCGAUUGUACAAAGAAAACU